UACGUAGGGUGCGAGCGUUAAUCGGAAUUACUGGGCGUAAAGCGUGCGCAGGCGGUUUUGUAAGCCAGAUGUGAAAUCCCCGGGCUCAACCUGGGAAUGGCAUUUGGGACUGCAAGGCUGGAGUGCGGCAGAGGAGACUGGAAUUCCUGGUGUAGCAGUGAAAUGCGUAGAUAUCAGGAGGAAUACCGAUGGCGAAGGCGGGUCUCUGGGCAGUAACUGACGCUGAGGAGCGAAAGCGUGGGGAGCGAACAGG
rnacentral:rRNA from 1 species